rnacentral:rRNA from 1 species
CAGGCUUAACACAUGCAAGUCGAGGGGCAUCAGGAAGAAAGCUUGCUUUCUUUGCUGGCGACCGGCGCACGGGUGAGUAACACGUAUCCAACCUGCCCUUUACUCGGGGAUAGCCUUUCGAAAGAAAGAUUAAUACCCGAUAGCAUAAUGAUUCCGCAUGGUUUCAUUAUUAAAGGAUUCCGGUAAAGGAUGGGGAUGCGUUCCAUUAGGUUGUUGGUGAGGUAACGGCCCACCAAGCCUUCGAUGGAUAGGGGUUCUGAGAGGAAGGUCCCCCACAUUGGAACUGAGACACGGUCCAAACUCCUACGGGAGGCAGCAGUGAGGAAUAUUGGUCAAUGGGCGCUAGCCUGAACCAGCCAAGUAGCGUGAAGGAUGAAGGCUCUAUGGGUCGUAAACUUCUUUUAUAUAAGAAUAAAGUGCAGUAUGUAUACUGUUUUGUAUGUAUUAUAUGAAUAAGGAUCGGCUAACUCCGUGCCAGCAGCCGCGGUAAUACGGAGGAUCCGAGCGUUAUCCGGAUUUAUUGGGUUUAAAGGGAGCGUAGGUGGACUGGUAAGUCAGUUGUGAAAGUUUGCGGCUCAACCGUAAAAUUGCAGUUGAUACUGUCAGUCUUGAGUACAGUAGAGGUGGGCGGAAUUCGUGGUGUAGCGGUGAAAUGCUUAGAUAUCACGAAGAACUCCGAUUGCGAAGGCAGCUCACUGGACUGCAACUGACACUGAUGCUCGAAAGUGUGGGUAUCAAACAGGAUUAGAUACCCUGGUAGUCCACACAGUAAACGAUGAAUACUCGCUGUUUGCGAUAUACAGUAAGCGGCCAAGCGAAAGCAUUAAGUAUUCCACCUGGGGAGUACGCCGGCAACGGUGAAACUCAAAGGAAUUGACGGGGGCCCGCACAAGCGGAGGAACAUGUGGUUUAAUUCGAUGAUACGCGAGGAACCUUACCCGGGCUUAAAUUGCAGUGGAAUGAUGUGGAAACAUGUCAGUGAGCAAUCACCGCUGUGAAGGUGCUGCAUGGUUGUCGUCAGCUCGUGCCGUGAGGUGUCGGCUUAAGUGCCAUAACGAGCGCAACCCUUAUCUUUAGUUACUAACAGGUUAUGCUGAGGACUCUAGAGAGACUGCCGUCGUAAGAUGUGAGGAAGGUGGGGAUGACGUCAAAUCAGCACGGCCCUUACGUCCGGGGCUACACACGUGUUACAAUGGGGGGUACAGAAGGCAGCUAGCGGGUGACCGUAUGCUAAUCCCAAAAUCCUCUCUCAGUUCGGAUCGAAGUCUGCAACCCGACUUCGUGAAGCUGGAUUCGCUAGCAAUCGCGCAUCAGCCACGGCGCGGUGAAUACGUUCCCGGGCCUUGUACACACCGCCCGUCAAGCCAUGGGAGCCGGGGGUACCUGAAGUACGUAACCGCAAGGAUCGUCCUAGGGUAAAACUGGUGACUGGGGCUAA